GACGAACGCUGGCGGCGUGCCUAAUACAUGCAAGUUGAGCGAUGAAGAUUGGUGCUUGCCCCAAUUUGAAGAGCAGCGAACGGGUGAGUAACGCGUGGGGAAUCUGCCUUUGAGCGGGGGACAACAUUUGGAAACGAAUGCUAAUACCGCAUAACAACUUUAAACAUAAGUUUUAAGUUUGAAAGAUGCAAUUGCAUCACUCAAAGAUGAUCCCGCGUUGUAUUAGCUAGUUGGUGAGGUAAAGGCUCACCAAGGCGAUGAUACAUAGCCGACCUGAGAGGGUGAUCGGCCACAUUGGGACUGAGACACGGCCCAAACUCCUACGGGAGGCAGCAGUAGGGAAUCUUCGGCAAUGGACGAAAGUCUGACCGAGCAACGCCGCGUGAGGGAAGAAGGUUUUCGGAUCGUAAAACUCUGUUGGUAGAGAAGAACGUUGGUGAGAGUGGAAAGCUCAUCAAGUGACGGUAACUACCCAGAAAGGGACGGCUAACUACGUG
rnacentral:rRNA from 1 species